rnacentral:rRNA from 1 species
UCCUACGGGAGGCAGCAGUGGGGAAUAUUGGACAAUGGGGGCAACCCUGAUCCAGCAAUGCCGCGUGUGUGAAGAAGGUCUUCGGAUUGUAAAGCACUUUCGACGGGGACGAUGAUGACGGUACCCGUAGAAGAAGCCCCGGCUAACUUCGUGCCAGCAGCCGCGGUAAUACGAAGGGGGCUAGCGUUGCUCGGAAUGACUGGGCGUAAAGGGCGUGUAGGCGGUUUGUACAGUCAGAUGUGAAAUCCCCGGGCUUAACCUGGGAGCUGCAUUUGAUACGUGCAGACUAGAGUGUGAGAGAGGGUUGUGGAAUUCCCAGUGUAGAGGUGAAAUUCGUAGAUAUUGGGAAGAACACCGGUGGCGAAGGCGGCAACCUGGCUCAUUACUGACGCUGAGGCGCGAAAGCGUGGGGAGCAAACAGGAUUAGAUACCCUGGUAGUCCACGCUGUAAACGAUGUGUGCUAGAUGUUGGGUAACUUCGUCAUUCAGUGUCGCAGUUAACGCGAUAAGCACUCCGCCUGGGAGACGCGAAGGGG